GGGUGGGCAAAGAUUCCCAAAGAUGAAGGUGGUGAAGAGUAGACAGCAAAGUCACACACCAGAAGACAGCUGGACGAGAACAAGGUCAGGCAACCGAAGGCUUAAAGGAUCAUGCAGUAGUGUGAAUGAUGGAGUGACUGAAGAACAUUUGAUGUUUGUGUUACGGUCGAACGCUGGUGGCCACGAAGACUCGAGCAAAAAUCCACAAAACCAAACAGAACAGGCCAGCGGGGAAUAGGAUGUAGAGGAGGGAUCCAUCUGGUUUCACUCGAUGCAUGGAAUGAAUCACAAUUCACCCCACUACCCGAAAAAUUGCCUGUAUCUCACGCGCAGGGAGACACCAGCCCAGGAUGGGAAUUUUUAAUCAAGACUCAAGAUCCCUUCGAUGCAGAUUUCAUGAAAAGGUGUGUGUGUGUGUGUGUGUGUGUGUGUGUGUGAUACAGUGUUUCCUUGAUUUCAUCUCUAAAAUACA